UCACAUCAGGCUCAGAGGUUAAAGCGUCUGCCUGCAAUGCGGGAGUCCUGGGUUUGAUCCCUGGGUUGGGAA
rnacentral:tRNA from 1 species